rnacentral:tRNA from 1 species
GCGUGCGGUCGGCGACGAUGGCGUGCGCCCCGUGCUUGACGUGCACGUCGGCGAAGACCCUCACCGGGUCGGCCCCGAUCGCGUGCC